UACAGGGGGUGCAAACGUUGCUCGGAAUCAUUGGGCGUAAAGCGCACGUAGGCGGUUCGUUAUGUCGGAUGUGAAAGCCCUUGGCUUAACCGAGGAAGUGCAUCCGAAACUGGCGAGCUAGAGUACGAAAGAGGAUCGCGGAAUUCCCGGUGUAGAGGUGAAAUUCGUAGAUAUCGGGAGGAACACCAGUGGCGAAGGCGACUUCCUGGCCCGAUACUGACACUGAGGCGCGAAAGCGUGGGGAGCGAACAGG
rnacentral:rRNA from 1 species